rnacentral:rRNA from 1 species
UCACCAAAUUUUUUCCCGCAGAUCUUCGUGAAGACCCUGACGGGCAAGACCAUCACGCUGGAGGUGGAGAGCAGCGACACCAUCGACAACGUCAAGGCUAAGAUCCAGAACAAGGAGGGCAUCCCGCCGGACCAGCAGCGGCUCAUCUUCGCCGGGAAGCAGCUCGAGGACGGCCGCACGCUCGCCGACUACAACGUGCAGAAGGAGUCGAAGGAGUCGACGCUGCACCUGGUGCUCCGCCUCCGCGGCGGCACCACCAUCAAGGUCAAGACGCUCACCGGCAAGGAGAUUGAGAUCGACAUCGACCCCACCGACACGGUGGACCGCAUCAAGGAGCGCGUCGAGGAGAAGGAGGGCAUCCCGCUCGUGCAGCAGAGGCUCAUCUUCGCCGGCAAGCAGCUCGCCGACGACAAGACUGCCAAGGAUUACAACAUCAAGGGUGGCGACGUGCUGCACCUCGUUCUCGCCCUCAGGGGCGGACACUAA